UAAUCAAAACAAGUUACAGAUUUAUGGUAUAGAACGAAAGUAUCGGACAAGUCAUUCGUUCAGUAAAAUAAUUAUAUAUUUCAAUGGUGCAUCGAAAAUUAUCAAAAUUUGGGUUUUCUCUAAAUGAGCAAAUAAAUUAUGAUAAGAUCUAAACGUAUGUCUUAUAAGUCGGAGAUAAAAUUAAAGUAUAACUUGUGUAGCUUGGAAUUUGGCGAA
rnacentral:lncRNA from 1 species